UUGUGCUUUUCACUUGUCCUUUCGCUUCGCUACAAGGAUAUGUAUUUUAAGAGAGUCAGAAUUCGACAAAGGAGGGAGAGCCUGAACCGCGACUAUCUAAACGGAUGUGGCAGAAUAGAGUGAGAAAUCGAAGAGAAAGAACAAUAAAUGAAGAAACAAUGAAAAGGCCAAGCAUUCAUUCAAGAUUCAUGUGUAUACAUUUUGUAGUUCAGCCAAUGCAUGCAUGAGGUAAAAAUUGAGUUUUCUCUGAGAACACUAACUGGUAAAUGGAUAACGCCAGAUAAGUGCAGGUAAUCGUCGUAUUAAAUAUACAGCUGGAAGACAACCUGGAUUUACAGCAUCACAAAACUUGUCUAAACAUUGACUCCUCUCAGAAAGCAACAGCUUAUGAAACACUCCUAUGAAGAAAAUACCAACAAUUUAAGGUCUUCUGGAGGGCACAUAUCACCUUGGGAUACGGGACUUUGGCAAAAGGCAUUAACUGACGAAAUUGGAGGUUGCACUUGUCACAUGUGCCCACACAUUGUAACUUAACCAGAAAGUGGAAAAGGAAGUGGUAUCUUCCUCCUCUGGCACCCAUAUUCCCUCCUCCUUGGAAAUCUGAGCAUCUGCCAUGUCAACUGUUGCAUACGGGUAGGG